CUGUCCCGGCUGCCUGAGGAUCACAGGGGCACUCCAGAGGGGCCCCUCCUGCACCCCGGGUGAAACCCUGGAACUUGGGGGACUUCAUCACUUAUUUCCACAGAGCCGACAUUCCAUGCUGGCGCCUGGCACGGUGCAGGCUGGGGCACUCGGCCACACUGCUGCCAGCCUGUCCCUGCCAUGCUGCUUGUGAAAGCACCAGUAUUUUUAGCCCCGUGACGCCGUUAUCUGGAGGCAGAAGCGCGGUGCUGAGCAGAUGCUGCAGGAGAGGUUUCCCAAGCAACAGUAUCCAGGGCCUGCAGCACCACGCAGCACCCAGCACACCGUGGAUGCACUCCAAAACGCCGCACAGCCUGUCUUCUCCACCAGCGUGUGCCCGGCUCCCAUCCUCCUCCCAUAGCCUGCUUUCCUCAGGCUGUGUCAUUUGGUGACUGCUCGGUGACAGCAGUGGCUUUGUCAUCGCUGUGCAGAGCUGUGCCUCAGAUAAGUCUUGGAGAUGGGUGUGGGAAUCCUCUCCCUACCUGUGGCUCUGCGCCCCAAGGCCCUCCCGGCCCCACAGGGCACUGCAGGAGGUGCUGCCCCAGGAGAUGAUGGAUGGAGGGCACCCACCACACCCGGUCCUGCAGUGUGGGUGCAGCAGUGGGGCAGGCAGCGCGCCCUGAAUGCAGGCUGAGCUGCUGCCAGCACACCGAGCACAUGGCAGCCAGCUGACCGGCCCUGCCAUUGGGCAAGGUGGGAGAGCAGCAUGGGAAGAGGGGUGCUUUGGGGUUUCCAUCAGAGAGGGCGCAGAGAAUUAUCCUGCAUCAUAGAGGUCUUCUCCAGCUCUCUGUUCCGACCAAACUCAGGUCUCCAUUGCUGGUCCUGUCCCCACAAACCACGUUCUGUCUCAAAGCAUCCGCCUCAGCCCAGCUGUUUCCACCUCAGUAGCCGCUCAAAAAGACUUAAAGGCUUCACAUUGUCUCUGCACAGGGAAGAAGUGACAGAAACCUUGUCAAAAGGGAAUAAAGCCAUCGGGAAACAGCAGCCAUCGCAUGGAAAUUUUGUAACUCCAGAAUGUUUUAAUGGGAGCUCCGGAGCUCCAGCAGCCUCUGCUCAGCCCACCCCUGCCUUCAUUUAGAUGAGCAGCAGAAACGGCUGUGCUGAGAGCCAGGAGCCAAGGGGAGCCAAGGGGAGCCCAGCACAGCCCAGCACAGCCCAGCACAGCCCAGCACACACUGCGCUGAUGACAGAGGAGGACCUCAUUUCCCUUGAACCAAAGUGUGAACAUUUUAUAGCAAAGCAAAAAAGCAAACGAGGGGACGUGCAGAACCACCUGCAUUCCACAGAGCUCCCCAGAAAUGGGCCACAACGCUCAGGGAGGGUUAUGCAAGCAGCCCCACCCCUAAUGCCGAGCAUUGGGCUUCCUCCUAGUUUAAAUCUGAUGAAUUGUGCUAUUUUAAUCCACUUUUAAAGUAUGUCAUCUGUAUGCUAAUCGCUGACCUUUUCCCAGUGCCCUUCGGGCGCCCAACAAAUGGGUUACAUCUGUUACCCUGGCUGUGGUGGGCAGGUUGGGCAGUGCUGGUGCUCCUCAGCACAGUGCAGAGGCAGCAGCACCAGCACCAACACCAACACCAGCACCAAUACCAACACCAGCCCCAGCACCAACACCAACACCAACACCAACACCAGCACCAACACCAGCCCCAGCACCCAAGCACAGCACUGCAGCAGCCCAGCAGGUGUGCUCACGGAGCACCUUACUGCACCUGGCAGUGUUUGCAUGUUUCCCAGGUUGCCUUAAGUUCAGCAACCCAUCACAGAGCAUGCAGUUAGAUUGCUUUUUGCCUGCUCGCUUCUGGAGUUGAACUGCUUAAUUCUCCACCGUCGUUCUAGACGCACAAAGUGCGGUAUUAGAGAAGCCAGUCACGGCGGACAGCCAUUGCAAUGACGUGUGAAGGUGGUUGUGGGGUGUGAUGUACAGCUCUCCACCCAGCUCACAUCCACCCACGUGCACCCAAACGUUUGCCAUCCCAAAGCCCACUGCUGCCCUGCAGCACACCCGGCCCACACGUGCUCCACGUUCACAAAAGACGCAGACAGGACAGUCUUCCACAAUGAGAGCAACCUCAGUUAGUUCAGGUUUAUGACUAAAAGCCCCACAAGGACAGCCUCCUGACACGAGACGUGAGUAAGCUCCCGUGUGUCACUUCUCAUCGCCCGCCAUAUGCUUUGAUGGCUGGAAGCACGCAUGACCAGCAGAAAGCCUUGGAUGCCCUCUCCCUUUUGUAGGGCUUUUUUUCUUUUUUUCCCCAUGAAAAAGCUCUUUUUGAUUGAAGGGUUCUGAUCGCUUUAAGGGGGCUGACAGGUGUGAUGUGCAGCACAGCACCCUCAGCACCUCCCUGUGUGCUGCCUCGCUGCUGCAGAAGGCUUACACCGCCCAGUCCCAGCCACCCACAGGGGCUGCCACCGCAGAACGUUGUGUGGGACGCUGCACUGUACAGCCCCAAUCUCCAGACAGUGCUGCAGCCUCAGAGGGCACCCGGAGAAGCAGAGACAGUAACGGAACAGAAGGAGCCAAUGGGCACCAACUGCCGCCCUUCCCUGGGAAAAAGGGAAAGCAUUUCCCAGAGCU